CUCAGGACAUCAAGUGAUUGUGGCGGUGAUGUGAAACUCCAAGACAAAGCUAGAACUUUGAGUUCUUUCAUCCCUGCAUAAACGUUGUUUGGAAGGCCUGGUGACCAACGAUCAUCCCCAAUUUGCAAGAGUUCAAGCUUCGGAUACUCCAAAUCAUUAAGCUGGUCACUGAUUUUUUCAUACAAAAGUGAAAUUGCAAUGCAAUGUUUGUACCCAUCUUUCUCUCGCCACUCAUUCAUUUUAGCCUCACUUUGUAACGUGUGCCAUUGCUUAUCUCUUGAGGCAAUUGAUAUGGCUACAUCGCGGACAAUAUCAUGCAUUUUGACAUAGUCAUGCCUAUAACCUUCAAGCAAUAAAAAUGAUUUUUUAAGUUUAUCAAUAAGAUUAUAGACCCUAGUUCUUGCAUGAUGCACUUUAUCAACAUUUUUAAACAACCGUAGGCCCAUUCCAUAUCUAACCAAAUCUUCAACCAGAAUAUCGAAAUCUUCAGGGAACAAACUACAAAGCAGAAAGCAUGACUUGGCCUCUUCGGCUUCCAAAAGCUUGUAACUUAAUUCAAUUCUGGAAAACACAUCUCUUGAUACACCUUGCAGGUUAGAAUUCUUUAGCUGUUGGAGCGUGUCAUCCCAUUUGUUUCGCCCUUUGUUUUUUAAUCCCUUUGCAAUAGUUACAAUAGCAAGAGGUAAGCCUCCACAUUCAUUUGCAAUCUCAGUUGCCGUGUGACGCAAAUCCUGGUCAAUGGAAAUGCCUGCCAUCUCUCUAAAAAGAUCCCAAGCUUCAUCCUUUGUUAAAACAUCCAUAGGGAAAUUCUUUUCACUUUCCAUUUUAUUGCAUUCAUCUAUGUUACGUGAAGUCAACAUAAUUUUGUGUCCCUUUCUCUCCUUUCUCUCUCUCCUUGAAGGAAGUCCUAUUUUUUCAAAAUCCAACUCGCUCCAAACAUCAUCCAUUAUUAUGAGGAUCCCCUUACCAUGGUUUAUAAGCCCCUGACGAAGCUCGCCUGCUCUUUUUAACUCAUUCUCAUCGUCCAAUUUCAAUUUCAGCCAAGAUGCAAUGUCACCUUGUAUCUUUUUGAUAUUAGGAUUUUCGGACACUACUGCCAUUCCAACCACAUCAAACAAAUUCUCUGUUUCAACUCUUUGCACAAGCUCUUUUACCAUCGUGGUUUUACCCACACCACCAGCUCCACAUAUACUGAUCAUGCUAAGGUUGUCAUCGUUCAAGGCCUCCCAGACUUCAUUUUUAAUUGAUUCCCUUGAUGUAAAAUCCAUAAUGCCUUUAGUAAUGAAAGCUGAUCCUAGGUUGAUACCGAACUCUUCAGUCUUUUUGAGCAGAUCAAGCACCGUCUCUGUCAUCUCUUUAGCUUUCUUGCUCAAGGAAUAACGUGACAUUGGAUCUGGACAGUUCGUGUUAAAACACUUGUUUUCAUUUUGAAAAAAUCCAUCGCCCUUCUUAAUGAUGUCAUCCACUUCCUUUUGCCAUCGAAUUAUUGAAUCAGCAGUGGGGCCAGCGUCCACGACAGUUUUCUUAUCUUCCAGGUUCUCAAGCUCAUCUUUCAGAUUCUUGAUGUUACGUUCGUAGCCAGUUAGGUAACCAAUAUGUCGGCUGAUUGGGGCCGCCAAGGCUUUAGGAAUUUCAACAGCAAUUGCACUUGCAACAGCAAUGAGAAUCUCCAUUUCUCUCGCUCUAUUUCUAGAAUAAUCAAGACAGAUACAAAAUCCAAAAAUGGAUUACUAACAAACUUGAAAACCAAGUAGGAUUGAGUUUUGUCUCUUAAAUAAAUAGAGCCCGUUGGAGCAGUAAUUUUCAAGAGAAACAAAAAUCAGCAGGCGUGAGCAUGAGAUGAGUAGCUAACAAGC
rnacentral:misc_RNA from 1 species